CGCCGUUCAGCGGGAUAACCCGGAGAAAUCCGGCCUAAUACCGCAUGUGGCCGAGGGGAGGCAUCUUCUUUCGGCCAAAGGAGGCGACUCCGGAGACGGAUGGGCAUGCGUGACAUUAGCUAGUUGGCGGGGUAACGGCCCACCAAGGCGACGAUGUCUAGGGGUUCUGAGAGGAAGGUCCCCCACACUGGUACUGAGACACGGACCAGACUCCUACGGGAGGCAGCAG
rnacentral:rRNA from 1 species